rnacentral:rRNA from 1 species
UUAAAUUGAAGAGUUUGAUCAUGGCUCAGAUUGAACGCUGGCGGCAGGCCUAACACAUGCAAGUCGAACGGUAACAGGAAGCAGCUUGCUA